GAUGAAGAACGUAGCGAAAUGCGAUAAGUAAUGUGAAUUGCAGAAUUCAGUGAAUCAUCGAAUCUUUGAACGCACAUUGCGCCCGCUAGUAUUCUGGCGGGCAUGCCUGUCCGAGCGUCAUUUCAACCCUCAAGCCCCCGGGCUUGGUGUUGGGGAUCGGCGAGCCUCCGCGCCCGCCGUCCCCUAAAUCUAGUGGCGGUCUCGCUGUAGCUUCCUCUGCGUAGUAGCACACCUCGCACUGGGAAACAGCGCGGCCACGCCGUUAAACCCCCAACUUCUGAACGUUUGACCUCGGAUCAGGUAGGAAUACCCGCUGUACUUAAGCAUAUCAAUAAGCGGAGGA
rnacentral:misc_RNA from 1 species